GAAUUGGAAAUACUUAUUUAAAGCAUCAUGUUUUUUCGUCGAUAACCAAAGAACGGAUACACAGUAAGAGAACUGGCAAGAAAUCCAAUUGCAAUUCCAAUGGCAAUUUCAACCAUUGUAAAACCAAAUUCAAGACUGCUGUUCUGGGAAUUUUCUGUUGUAACAGUAGUAGUAUUUGUAGUUGUAUUUUUGCUGGUAAUUUGGCUAGCU